rnacentral:tRNA from 1 species
UUAACUGAAGCCAAAAAGAGGUCAAUCACUGUUAAUGAUUUUAUUGAAUUAUUUCCAGUUAAA